rfam:Chelonia mydas contig231647, whole genome shotgun sequence.
UGCAGCCCUGUCAAAUUCAGUCCUCGCCUCUGUCCUGGUGGGUACCGACCCGGUCGGCUGCCACAGCAACAUCUGUAGUUCAUGGGCCCCGCAUCUCUCUCACUGUGUGCUGGGAAUAAAAAUACACUACAGCCACCC